GUGCUCGUUUCGGCAGCACAUACACUAAAAUUGGAACGAUACACAGAAGAUUAGCAUGGCCCCUGUGCAAGGAUGAUAAAAAAAAAAAGAAUAAAAAAUAAAAAUCUGU